rnacentral:rRNA from 1 species
UGUUGCGGUGAAUACGUUCCCGGGUCUUGUACACACCGCCCGUCAAACCAUGAAAGUGACCAACACCCGAAGUCCGAUUCGUCGGCCUAAGGUGGGGGGCAUGAUUGGGGUU